rnacentral:rRNA from 1 species
UACGUAGGGUGCGAGCGUUAAUCGGAAUUACUGGGCGUAAAGCGUGCGCAGGCGGUUUGUUAAGCCAGAUGUGAAAGCCCCGGGCUCAACCUGGGAACUGCGUUUGGUACUGGCAAGCUAGAGUACGGCAGAGGGGGGUGGAAUUCCACGUGUAGCAGUGAAAUGCGUAGAGAUGUGGAGGAACACCGAUGGCGAAGGCAGCCCCCUGGGCCGAUACUGACGCUCAGGCGCGAAAGCUAGGGGAGCAAACAGG